AUGGAGUCUGUGCUUGGCUGGGUGUUCCUGCUUGCUCUUUUAAAAGGUGUCCAGUGUGACGUGCAGCUGGUGGAGUCUGGAGGAGACCUGGUGAAGCCUGGGCGGUCCCUGAGACUCACCUGUGUAGCCUCUGGAUUCACCUUUAGUAGCUAUGGAAUGAGCUGGGUCUGCCAGGCUCCAGGAAAGGGGCUCCAGUGGGUCGCAUAUAUUUAUGAUGAUGGCAGUAGCACAUACUACGCAGACUCCGUGAAGGGCCGAUUCACCCAGAAAAUCCUCUAUCUGCAGAUGAACAACCUGAGGGCCGAGGACAAGGCCACAUAUUACUGUGGAAGAGACAGGGUGGCCCCCAGGUGUAGGGUGUUGGCCACCCAGUACAACCCUCUGUUCUUGAAAGAGCAGACCUAG